UGAAAAUGCAGGUUACCCGCGACAGGACGGAAAGACCCCAUGGAGCUUUACUGUAAUUUGAUAUUGGGUGUCUGUGAUGCAUGUACAGCAUAGGUAGGAGCCGUAGAAUUCGGGACGCGAGUCUCGAAGGAGGCAUCCGUGGGAUACUACCCUUGCAUUAUGGCCACUCUAACCCGCGCCACUGAUCGUGGCGGGAGACAGUGUCAGAUGGGCAGUUUGACUGGGGCGGUCGCCUCCUAAAAAGUAACGGAGGCGCCCCAAGGUUCCCUCAGAAUGGUUGGAAAUCAUUCAAAGAGUGUAAAGGCAGAAGGGAGC
rnacentral:rRNA from 1 species